AAAAACUCCGGUGGUAUGAGAUGGACCCGCGUCUGAUUAGCUGGUUGGUGGGGUAACGGCCUACCAAGGCGACGAUCAGUAGCCGACCUGAGAGGGUGACCGGCCACAUUGGGACUGAGACACGGCCCAAACUCCUACGGGAGGCAGCAGUGGGGAAUAUUGCACAAUGGGGGAAACCCUGAUGCAGCGACGCCGCGUGAAGGAUGAAGUAUUUCGGUAUGUAAACUUCUAUCAGCAGGGAAGAAAAUGACGGUACCUGACUAAGAAGCCCCGGCUAACUACGUGCCAGCAGCCGCGGUAAUACGUAGGGGGCAAGCGUUAUCCGGAUUUACUGGGUGUAAAGGGAGCGUAGACGGCAUUGCAAGCCAGAUGUGAAAGCCCGGGGCUCAGCCCCGGGACUGCAUUCGGAACUGUAGAGCUAGAGUGUCGGAGAGGCAAGUGGAAUUCCUAGUGUAGCGGUGAAAUGCGUAGAUAUUAGGAGGAACACCAGUGGCGAAGGCGGCUUGCUGGACGAUGACUGACGUUGAGGCUCGAAAGCGUGGGGAGCAAACAGGAUUAGAUACCCUGGUAGUCCACGCCGUAAACGAUGAGUACUAGGUGUCGGG
rnacentral:rRNA from 1 species